rnacentral:rRNA from 1 species
AUAUAUGUUAAGUGGAAAAGGAUGUGGCGUUGCCCAGACAACUAGGAUGUUGGCUUAGAAGCAGCCAUCAUUUAAAGAGUGCGUAAUAGCUCACUAGUCGAGUGACACUGCGCCGAAAAUGUACCGGGGCUAAACAUAUUACCGAAGCUGUGGAUUGUCCUUUGGACAAUGGUAGGAGAGCGUUCUAAGGGCGUUGAAGCAUGAUCGUAAGGACAUGUGGAGCGCUUAGAAGUGAGAAUGCCGGUGUGAGUAGCGAAAGACGGGUGAGAAUCCCGUCCACCGAUUGACUAAGGUUUCCAGAGGAAGGCUCGUCCGCUCUGGGUUAGUCGGGUCCUAAGCUGAGGCCGACAGGCGUAGGCGAUGGAUAACAGGUUGAUAUUCCUGUACCACCUAUAAUCGUUUUAAUCGAUGGGGGGACGCAGUAGGAUAGGCGAAGCGUGCGAUUGGAUUGCACGUCUAAGCAGUAAGGCUGAGUAUUAGGCAAAUCCGGUACUCGUUAAGGCUGAGCUGUGAUGGGGAGAAGACAUUGUGUCUUCGAGUCGUUGAUUUCACACUGCCGAGAAAAGCCUCUAGAUAGAAAAUAGGUGCCCGUACCGCAAACCGACACAGGUAGUCAAGAUGAGAAUUCUAAGGUGAGCGAGCGAACUCUCGUUAAGGAACUCGGCAAAAUGACCCCGUAACUUCGGGAGAAGGGGUGCUCUUUAGGGUUAACGCCCAGAAGAGCCGCAGUGAAUAGGCCCAAGCGACUGUUUAUCAAAAACACAGGUCUCUGCUAAACCGUAAGGUGAUGUAUAGGGGCUGACGCCUGCCCGGUGCUGGAAGGUUAAGAGGAGUGGUUAGCUUCUGCGAAGCUACGAAUCGAAGCCCCAGUAAACGGCGGCCGUAACUAUAACGGUCCUAAGGUAGCGAAAUUCCUUGUCGGGUAAGUUCCGACCCGCACGAAAGGCGUAACGAUUUGGGCACUGUCUCAACGAGAGACUCGGUGAAAUCAUAGUACCUGUGAAGAUGCAGGUUACCCGCGACAGGACGGAAAGACCCCGUGGAGCUUUACUGUAGCCUGAUAUUGAAAUUCGGCACAGCUUGUACAGGAUAGGUAGGAGCCUUUGAAACGUGAGCGCUAGCUUACGUGGAGGCGCUGGUGGGAUACUACCCUAGCUGUGUUGGCUUUCUAACCCGCACCACUUAUCGUGGUGGGAGACAGUGUCAGGCGGGCAGUUUGACUGGGGCGGUCGCCUCCUAAAAGGUAACGGAGGCGCUCAAAGGUUCCCUCAGAAUGGUUGGAAAUCAUUCAUAGAGUGUAAAGGCAUAAGGGAGCUUGACUGCGAGACCUACAAGUCGAGCAGGGUCGAAAGACGGACUUAGUGAUCCGGUGGUUCCGCAUGGAAGGGCCAUCGCUCAACGGAUAAAAGCUACCCCGGGGAUAACAGGCUUAUCUCCCCCAAGAGUUCACAUCGACGGGGAGGUUUGGCACCUCGAUGUCGGCUCA